GCAAUCUCAGGACGACAUUUCUGAGGCACACUGUACUAAGCGGUAUUCAGGCUGAUUGCCUCUUGGUACGCCGUAGGUACUAACCUGAUUAGGGUUAGUAGAAGGGCAUUGAUAGCGCAGUCCUGUAACAGCAAUGCAGGCGCAUAUUGAAGGAACCCAACU
rfam:Photobacterium gaetbulicola Gung47 chromosome 2, complete sequence.